rnacentral:rRNA from 1 species
GACGAACGCUGGCGGCGUGCUUAACACAUGCAAGUCGAACGGAAAGGCCCCAGCUUUCUGGGGUACUCGAGUGGCGAACGGGUGAGUAACACGUGGGUGACCUGCCCUUCACUCUGGGAUAACCCUGGGAAACUGGGUCUAAUACCGGAUAGGACCUUCCUCUAGUGUGUGGGGUGGAGAGUUUUUCGGUGCAGGAUGAGCUCGCGGCCUAUCAGCUUGUUGGUGGGGUAGUGGCCUACCAAGGCGGCGACGGGUAGCCGGCCUGAGAGGGUGUACGGCCACAUUGGGACUGAGACACGGCCCAGACUCCUACGGGAGGCAGCAGUGGGGAAUAUUGCACAAUGGGCGCAAGCCUGAUGCAGCGACGCCGCGUGGGGGAUGACGGCCUUCGGGUUGUAAACCGCUUUCGGCAGGGACGAAGCGUUAGUGACGGUACCGGGAUAAGAAGCACCGGCUAACUACGUG